rnacentral:lncRNA from 1 species
UCACUUAACCACAAAACCUUGUCACUUGGCCACAAUACAUUACAUAUCAUUACAACACAUUAUCACAUUAAUUUGUCACUUGACCACAAAACAUAGCAUAAUGGUUCUAAUACAUUACACAUCAUCACCUAAUGUGACGUUAAUAACCUUUCUCUUGACGAACGUCCCUUGGUUGUGAUCGCGGUGUAACCGUGGAGCGUCCUCUUUAGCUAACAGGAUGCUUG